GCGGAGGCGGAGGCGGCGGUGUGAACGCUCUACGCGCUCCUCUAGGUGUUCCGCGCCCACCGUGCUGGCUGAGGAGGGGGCCUCCCGCCGCAAGGCCGCCGGGAACUCGGUUUAAGUGUAAUGCUGGCUUUUUAUAUCUCCUUUUAAGCUAUAUUAAUGCAGCAAGUCCUAAAGCCAUAAUGUGGCAUGCUAUCCCUUUUGAGAGGUGACUAAUAUUGAAUAAAAAUGACUGACAGAAGUGGGAAGAUGGUUCCAGGACAAGUGUAUAUUGGAGUGGAAUAUGAUUAUGAAUAUGAAGCCAAGGACCGAAAGAUUGUGAUGAAACAAGGGGAGUAGUACAUCUUGGUGAAAAAGACCAAUGAUGGCUGGUGGUAAGUUAAGCUGGAUGAGAAUUCCAAAGCCUUUUAUGUGCCAGCCCAGUAUGUCACGGAGGUCACCCGCAAAGCUCUAAUGCCACCUGUUAAAGCACCUAGUUGGACUGCCAAAUAAUUCUUUGAAAAUGAUGCAGAGUCCACCCUUCAGAGAUCGACAGAAAAUGUGAACAAAUUGCCUGAGCUUUCAAAGUUUGGAAAGCCAUCAUCAUCUGUUCAAGGAACAGGUCUUAUUUGUGAUGCCAAUCAGAAUUUUGGACCCAAUUUUAAUCCAGGUCAGACUCUCAGUCUAAGCCUGGACCUGACCUAUAAUAACGGAACCAUUCUCCUAAAGUUUGUAGCCAGAACAGGACACGCUUAUUUGGUCACUUUCCUCGUCUGGAGUUCUUGGACAUUGAGAAAACUAGCUUUUCCCAGGAACAGUCUUGUGAUUCAGCAGGAGAAGGCUGGGAAAGAAUCCAUCAAGAUUCUGAAUCUGGAGAUGAGCUUCGCAGCAGCUCCACUGAACAG